GAGUUUGAUCAUGGCUCAGAUUGAACGCUGGCGGCAUGCCUAACACAUGCAAGUCGAACGGCAGCGCGGGGGCAACCCUGGCGGCGAGUGGCGGACGGGUGAGGAACACAUAGGAAUCUACCUUGACGUGGGGGAUAACGUAGGGAAACUUACGCUAAUACCGCAUACGACCUCAGGGUGAAAGCGGCGGACCGCAAGGCGUCGCGCGGUGAGAUGAGCCUAUGUCCGAUUAGCUAGUUGGCGGGGUAAGGGCCCACCAAGGCGACGAUCGGUAGCUGGUCUGAGAGGAUGAUCAGCCACACUGGGACUGAGACACGGCCCAGACUCCUACGGGAGGCAGCAGUGGGGAAUAUUGGACAAUGGGCGCAAGCCUGAUCCAGCAAUGCCGCGUGGGUGAAGAAGGCCUC
rnacentral:rRNA from 1 species